AUUGAACGCUGGCGGCAGGCCUAACACAUGCAAGUCGAGCGGAUGAAGGGAGCUUGCUCCUGGAUUCAGCGGCGGACGGGUGAGUAAUGCCUAGGAAUCUGCCUGGUAGUGGGGGAUAACGUCCGGAAACGGGCGCUAAUACCGCAUACGUCCUGAGGGAGAAAGUGGGGGAUCUUCGGACCUCACGCUAUCAGAUGAGCCUAGGUCGGAUUAGCUAGCUGGUGGGGUAAAGGCCUACCAAGGCGACGAUCCGUAACUGGCCUGAGAGGAUGAUCAGUCACACUGGAACUUAGACAGGGUCCAGACUCCUGCGGGAGGCAGCAGUGGGGAAUGUGGGACAAAGGGCGAAAGCCUGAUCCAGCCAUGCCGCGUGUGUGAAGAAGGUCUUCGGAUUGUAAAGCACGUUAAGUGGGGAGGAAGGGCAGUAAGUUAAUACCUUGCUGUUUUGACGUUACCAACAGAAUAAGCACCGGCUAACUUCGUG
rnacentral:rRNA from 1 species